rnacentral:rRNA from 1 species
GUGGGGAAUAUUGGACAAUGGGCGAAAGCCUGAUCCAGCCAUGCCGCGUGUGUGAAGAAGGUCUUCGGAUUGUAAAGCACUUUAAGUUGGGAGGAAGGGCAGUAAGUUAAUACCUUGCUGUUUUGACGUUACCGACAGAAUAAGCACCGGCUAACUUCGUGCCAGCAGCCGCGGUAAUACGAAGGGUGCAAGCGUUAAUCGGACUUACUGGGCGUAAAGCGCGCGUAGGUGGUUUUGUAAGUUGGAGGUGAAAUCCCCGGGCUCAACCUGGGAACUGCCUCCAAAACUGCAUGACUAGAGUACGGUAGAGGGUAGUGGAAUUUCCUGUGUAGCGGUGAAAUGCGUAGAUAUAGGAAGGAACACCAGUGGCGAAGGCGACUACCUGGACUGAUACUGACACUGAGGUGCGAAAGCGUGGGGAGCAAACAGGAUUAGAAACCCGGGUAGUCC